UACGUAGGGGGCCAGCGUUGCUCGGAAUUACUGGGCGUAAAGGGUCCGUAGGCGGUGUAGCAAGUCGAUAGUGAAAUCUCUGGGCUUAACCCAGAGGCUGCUAACGAAACUGCUGUGCUAGAGUGUGAGAGAGGCGAGUGGAAUUACGGGUGUAGCGGUGAAAUGCGUAGAUAUCAGGAGGAACACCUGUGGUGUAGACAGCUUACUGGACCACUUCUGACGCUGAGACACGAAAGCGUGGGUAGCAAACAGG
rnacentral:rRNA from 1 species